rnacentral:misc_RNA from 1 species
AAGCACAGAGGGGAGCCUGGGCUCCCCUCCAAAUUGACUUUGUGCUUUGUUCUUCUUGUGCUCGAUCUGUUGUUGUUCUUGUCGACCGCCACCCUGAAGAUGCUUCAGUCGGCCCCAAUCGGGGCCAAGAGCAAACGUAUUUCUUUGAUCGCCGAUAUCGCGAUGACCACUACGUGAUCCAACCAGUCCGGGCGCUACCUCGAGGUAGUU